rnacentral:rRNA from 1 species
AAUCGUACCCCAAACCGACACAGGUGGUCAGGUAGAGAAUACCAAGGCGCUUGAGAGAACUCGGGUGAAGGAACUAGGCAAAAUGGUGCCGUAACUUCGGGAGAAGGCACGCUGGCAUGUAGGUGAAGUCCUUCGCGGAUGGAGCUGAAGCCAGUCGAAGAUACCAGCUGGCUGCAACUGUUUAAUAAAAACACAGCACUGUGCAAACACGAAAGUGGACGUAUACGGUGUGACGCCUGCCCGGUGCUGGAAGGUUAAUUGAUGGGGUCAGCCGCAAGGCGAAGCUCUUGAUCGAAGCCCCAGUAAACGGCGGCCGUAACUAUAACGGUCCUAAGGUAGCGAAAUUCCUUGUCGGGUAAGUUCCGACCUGCACGAAUGGCGUAAUGAUGGCCAGGCUGUCUCCACCCGAGACUCAGUGAAAUUGAACUCGCUGUGAAGAUGCAGUGUACCCGCGGCAAGACGGAAAGACCCCGUGAACCUUUACUAUAGCUUGACACUGAACAUUGAGCCUUGAUGUGUAGGAUAGGUGGGAGGCUUUGAAGCGUGGACGCCAGUCUGCGUGGAGCCAUCCUUGAAAUACCACCCUUUAAUGUUUGAUGUUCUAACUCGGCCCCGUGAUCCGGGGUGAGGACAGUGUCUGGUGGGUAGUUUGACUGGGGCGGUCUCCUCCCAAAGAGUAACGGAGGAGCACGAAGGUUAGCUAAUCACGGUCGGACAUCGUGAGGUUAGUGCAAAGGCAUAAGCUAGCUUGACUGCGAGAGUGACGGCUCGAGCAGGUACGAAAGUAGGUCUUAGUGAUCCGGUGGUUCUGAAUGGAAGGGCCAUCGCUCAACGGAUAAAAGGUACUCCGGGGAUAACAGGCUGAUACCGCCCAAGAGUUCAUAUCGACGGCGGUGUUUGGCACCUCGAUGUCGGCUCAUCACAUCCUGGGGCUGAAGUAGGUCCCAAGGGUAUGGCUGUUCGCCAUUUAAAGUGGUACGCGAGCUGGGUUUAGAACGUCGUGAGACAGUUCGGUCCCUAUCUGCCGUGGGCGUUGGAAGAUUGAGAGGGGUUGCUCCUAGUACGAGAGGACCGGAGUGAACGCACCACUGGUGUUCGGGUUGUCAUGCCAAUGGCAUUGCCCGGUAGCUAAGUGCGGAAAAGAUAAGCGCUGAAAGCAUCUAAGCGCGAAACUUGCCUCAAGAUGAGUCUUCCCUGGGCCUUCAAGGCCCCUGAAGGAACGUUUAAGACUAAGACGUUGAUAGGCUGGGUGUGUAAGUGCAGCGAUGCAUUGAGCUAACCAGUACUAAUGAUCCGUGAGGCUUAACCUU